CCUAAGUAGGGGACGGCAGGGCAAGUGCCCACUAUGCUUCUGCCACGGGGAGCAGGCAGGAGCCCUCAGGGUGAGGCGCCUGACCAGGCCUUACUAAGAAUAACUUCAGUGGCAUCUACUUUGUACUGUUGGCUUGUGCCCAGGGCCGUCAGGGGUUUUAAACACCCUGUGAGUGUGGGUUUCAGCAGGAGAGAGACCUCUGCCCACCACCCGGUCAAGCUGGCAGAGGAGGAGGCAGGAAGACACAGAUUCUACCAGCUCACGUGGUCAGGCCACUCUGCACAGGAGCGAGAGAGGUUCGAGGCAGGAUGGAGCCCUGUCAGGAGCUGGCCUGGAGGGUGGCGGAGAGAGUAGGCACACUCCUGUCAUCUCAUUGGAUUCUGCAACAGCCCAGGGCAGGGCCAGGUGAGAAUCCCAAGGAACUGAAGGUGGAAACCCGGGGUUUAACCCAUCGUGUUUGAAUGUAAAUUAAACGCAUCGAAUGUGUGAUAUUAUUAAGACCUUUUAUGGUUUAGUUGUAUCAAAGUAUCCGAGGCUGGGAAAUUUGUAAAGAAAAGAGUUUUUUUUUUUUUUUUUAGCUUUAAAGUUCGGGAGGCUGGAAGUCCAAAGAGCCUGGCAUGCGCUCUGGUGAGGGACCCCUGACUGAUUUACCUUGUGGCCGGUGGCCUCAUGACUAGACCCCUGUGUGAGAGGGAAAGAGCACAUGGAGGCUCUGGAGCCAGACGGUGGGGAGGAGUCAGUCUCAGGAACGCCCCUUAGAUCCCACUUCUGGAAGGUCCCACCACUUCUUAACGUCACCCCACUGGGGACCAAACUUCCGACACAGAACCUUUGUGGGAUCCUUCAAACCACCCUCCAACCAAAGCAGGCCCUGAUGUCACCAUCGCCAUCUUGAAGCCAGGCAGAUGGCUUCAGGUUUUCAGGUUUGGGGUUUGCUGGGGUAUCAGUGCGUGGCUUAUCCCCACAGUGAACAGAUCACCGGCCUUCUCUGUGCCUUGGUGUCCUCUUUGGUCAUGAGGAGUAUUGUACAGUUGUCAUGAAAAUUGGACAAGUGUAUUCAUUAGGGAAUUUCCCGUGGAUCCUGAGGCUUCAGGAGUUCUUGACAAACGCUCAUUCUUAUUCCUGAGCUGGGUGGUGUGGGGCGGGCUGUGCUCCUGGCCCCUUGGUCUCUUCACAUUCAAAUGCUAUCAUUGGACUAUUUGUCUGGCAGACGUUUCUCUCUCCUAGUUAGUCCAGGAAUGUUUGGAACAGUGAUUCUGAUUAUCUCUGUGUGGGUAUAUUUUCUCCUCUAAAAUACAUAAAAGAUAUCUAGCCAGGUAAACCUUUGAGAGAAUAUAAGAGUUAAAAUUCAGAACAGCUGAGAACAAAAGAGCAUUAGUUCCCAAUUGUUUGGCAGAAUUGAAAAGAGCGUUACAAAUGGCUUUUGGAAAGUUCACAUUUUGUUCUGCAAAUACUUUCUGGGAAUGUCACUAGGUACAGUUAAAAAAAAAAAAAUCCACACCCAAACAGACAGCAUCCAAAUAAAUUUUGCUGCUUUACAAACAACAAAAUAGAAUCCUUUUGAAUCCACAGUGAACUCAUAGACCAGAGUGGCUAAAAAUUCCCUUCCUGCAUAUUUACUUAGCAGAGAGCUCCGGAGAAAAACCCAACCACAGCAAACCUAGCUACUUCUCUGAGAAGAUGGAAUGACUGCAGAAUAUUGUUUUGUGGCCCCCAAAGCCUGAAAAAACUGCCAAUGAAAGAGGAAAAUCCCUCUGAUUGGGCAUUUUACCUUUUCAGAAAUGAAAGGGUUCAACGGAAAGAAAAGAAACCAAACACACACACAACCCUUUGCUUAGAUCCUUAGAAGACUAGAGCAGGGCCCAAGAUAAAUCUCCUGAACUGUCCAGCCGAGUCAUGAAGGACUCCGCUGCCCUCCUCCCUUCAGUGCCCUGUAGCCUGCCACAGGACAGAGGUCCCCGUGGCGAGAGCUAAGACACGUUGGAAGCAACAGACGGCACAGUGCUCUGCACGUCUGAGCCGGCCCCUCGCUGGCCCUUGAUCAGCUCUUCUGAGCGCUAGCCUGGAACGAGGGUCCCGCCACUGUCCAGAUUAAGACCUGGGCUCCAAAUGGAAUCUGUUUUGUUUCGUAAAGUAGCAAAAUGUCUGAGGAUGCUAUCUGUUUGAGCUUGGGUUUUAGCAAGGUCACACAGGCCUCACUAUUGGGCCACUCUGGGGGAGGGAAUGAGGCACACUUUGGACAGCCUGUGGCCACGUGGCACACCUGAAGUUACGCCACUCAGCCCUCCACCCCCCUCCCUCCUGCGCAGGUGAGGGGGAAGCUCUGCUGGAGGACCUGCCCAGUACCAGGCCAGCGGCCAGGAAAGGGCAAGUGUGGCCUCCAGCCCCAGAAGCACCCUGCUUGAUCCCAGUACCCCAUGUCUGCCCCGUCGCUCACCCCAUGCUCCCCUCAUUGCUUAGCGGGACCUGAGAACAGUAGCACAAAAACACAACCAAGCCCAGCUCCUGGGAUCCAAACUUGGUCAUCACAGUGACACAGCAGCCAGACAGCGCACACACUGCCAUUCACAGUCCAUGUCACCACGUUCCGGAUGAGCCGGAACCAGCAGCAGGCUUGGCAAGGGACCAGCUCAGCCUUAGCGAGUCAGAGAGCCCAGGCAUGGCAGGGUAGGCUGGAGAGGCUAGUCCCAGGGCCCUGCUGGUGAGCAGGCCAUCAGAGUGGGCCGGGAGGUCAGGGAGGAGCUCGGGCAUUUGGUUAGGCAGCUCGCCCUGCCGUUGGGUACGCAUCCUAUAUGUCAGUCAAUCGUUUCUCACAAGAGAAGGGUCAGCAGCUGGGUAGGACCAGAGCCAAAGAACAGAGGCCUGGGGAGGCUCCGGAGGAGGGGAGGGGGAGGAGGGAAACCUUCCUGCCCACAGGGAAGGCCUAGUGUUGGAGGUUAAGUUCAUGAGCCAGAGGAGCAAAGAGGUUGUUCUGGGCAAACUCUGAGCAAAGUUUCACAGAAAGCCAUCAGAGGCCCAGGAGUUCACCUGCCAAGGGGGCUGGAUGGGUUGUUGGGCUUCUGUCCAUCUGCUCGGGGCUGGCAGCAGCUCCACACCCUGGGCAGGCCAGGUGGCCGGCUCCCCUGGCCAGGGCUUCUCGUCCCUCUGACCUAGUGCCCUUUCUCUUACCACAGCCCUCUAAGACCUGUGUUGGGGCUUUUUCCUGAUCCUAUUUACAGAUGUGGAAACCGAGGAUUGGAGAGCGUGAGUCACAAAAUUCAGGUCACGUAGCUAGAAAGUGGCAGAACCAGAAAGGCCCUCCAUGAAUGUCCAGAGCCCAGGCCGCCAGCUCCCGCUGUGGAAUUCGUAGGGCCUCCCACAGGUGUCCAUCACGGCGGACAGGACAGCUUCUCUAGGAGGCACCAGCCCAGCCCCGAAGCACACCAGGCCCACCCGUGUCCUCUGGUGGCCACGGACCCAAUCGUGGGCUGCCUUUUUGGAAGAGAUCCUGGUGGUUCUGCAGUUGCCCACUCCCCAGUCAUAGACCACAGCCUCACGCUCCAAAGCCGGGGCCUGAGUGGUCUGCUUCUGCUCUCCUCUCGGGGGGCUCUGAGGGUGCACCUGGCCUGUGAGGGUCUCGCCAGAUUGUGAGAUCUCCAGUGGACCCCACAUUGCUGAUCUCCAGUGGACCCCACAUUGCUGAUCUCCAGUGGACCCCACAUUGCUGAUCUCCAGUGGAUCCCACAUUGCUGAUCUCCAGUGGACCCCACAUUGCUGAUCUCCAGUGGACCCCACAUUGCUGAUCACAAGUGCUGCUCUUGAUGUUGCCCUGGUUUCUGGGGAUUGAGGAAGGCAGGGGCACGGUGAGUCCCGGGGCUGGAGACCCGGAUGGAGCACCAAGGCCAUAGUGAGUUUGCCAUCAGGCCUGUGAACUCACCCUGCUCUCUAGAUCGGCGCCUCCUGGGCGCACCCUGUGUUUUGUAAGCUGAAUUGUAAAAGUCACUGCUGCAACUUUAGAAAAUUCCUUUUUAAUAUCUUCACAAUGGAGAGGACGGUGGGUGGUGGUUGUUCCUGUUCCUGGAAGGGAAGGCGCUGUUAAUCCCACCACCUGGCGGAGGGUCUCAGGGAUCAAGACCGUGGCUUGCGGAACAGUGUCGCUGCCGCAGAAUGUCUCUCGGGGGUGAAUGGGUGUUCCUGCGGCCUAAUCUCAAAUUCUCAAGCUCAGUCUCUGGCAGAAAAGGAAAUUAAAAGAGGGGGAGAUCAGGCCGGCGGACGGCGUCCUCCCACCCUGCUCCUGGUGGGGACUUGAGAUGGAAAACGACCCUUCCUGGUGGCCCAAGAGCUGGCUCCAGGCUCUCUCCAGCUGCUGGGUCUACUGUGAGGUGAACGGCUGAGCCCAGCAGGCAGGAGCGGGAACCCAGGUUCUGCAGGAAGCCAUCCCUCCACAGCCAGAUACCCAGCCAGGAGGAAGCACAGGCUGGCACAGAGCCCUGUUCACGCUCAGGACACCCUGCACGGUCGGGACCUGUGCCUGCCGUGGAGGACCGGAGCCUCCCUCCUUUCCCAGAGCUGAGGGAGCAAACCUGUGUUGAUGGGGUGGGUUGGACUUGCGGGAGUCGAUUCAAUGAUAAGUUAUAGGUGAUGCACAUUUAGAUAACAUGAAACAAGUAAGAUCUGAAUGCUUGCAAAGAGCCUUAGCGGUGCCCUUGUUUGACCUUCUACUCCAAGACUUCAAUUGCCAUCUACUGAGUCAGUGAUUCUUUUAUUAAAAGUCCUGGCUCUGCCACUUCCUAGCUGUGUGACCUUGAGUGAAUUGCUUACUCUCUCUGUUCCUUGUCACUUACAAAAUAGGGAUCAUAAUAGUAUGGAGCUCCCAAGAGGUACUAAAUGAGCAUCAAAUGAGUUAAUGUUUGGGACCAUUUGCUGAUUACAUGCUGUGAGUAACCCCCUGUCAUCCACCCUCACCAUUCUGGUUUAGAACCCUCUUGCCCAGGCUCCUGGGGCAGUUUUUCUGGAUGAGACUCCACGUGGUUACACCGUACCUGCUUGCACAC
rnacentral:lncRNA from 1 species